ensembl:lncRNA
GGGGAGGAUAAGGGGAUAUGGACCACAGCCUACAGGAGCAGAGUGCUUCACAGGAGAAGGCAAGGUGUGAGGUACAGGUGGGACUUGUGGGUGCGGGGACGUCAGGUGGCAUGGGUACGUGGGGGGUCUGGGGGCUCGUGGGGAGCGGUUUGGGGUCAGAAUGGGGGAUGUGGAGUGGUGUUGGAGUGCAUUCAUUGAUUUCUUCCUGAGAGGGGAUUGGGGUUCCCUGUGGCCCAAAGGUGGAGCCCUCAUCGGUAACCGCACAUGAGCCCAGAACCCCAUAUAACUCCACGUGACCCAAGGCUCCACAUAUCCCAUAACCUUGUGAGCACAGUAAGCCCAUAUGAGGCUGUGGGCAGGGAUGGGUCUGUUCCUGGCUUGUUCAGGGGGUACUAUAAGGUGGCUCUGGGGCCGCUGUAGGUCAGCAGCCUGUAUAUUCCCCUGAUGCUCAUCUUGCCCUCAUCUUGGGGGGCAAAAUGGAGGUCAAGGGGUUUGUUGGGGGUAAGGAAGAGGUUCCAUGAGUGUAUCCCAUAGCUGCCCAGAGCAUCCCCAGAGCCAUCCUAGAGGAGCAGUUCCAGAGCAGCCCCAUCAUUGCCCAUAGCUCGUGGCCAGCAGCAGUUCCACCAGCAGCAGUGUGUUGGGUAAAG